rfam:Stegodyphus mimosarum contig79071, whole genome shotgun sequence.
GCCUUCGUGGUGUAGUGGUCAGCACGCUCGGCCCGUAUUCGAGCGGUCCGUGGUUCGAGUCCCGACGAGGGCA